AACGAACGCUGGCGGCGUGCUUAAGACAUGCAAGUCGUGCGAGAAAGUCACCUUCGGGUGGCGAGUAAAGCGGCGCACGGGUGAGUAACGCGUGGGUAACCUGCCCUCGGGUCUGGGACAACACCGGGAAACUGGUGCUAAUACCGGAUGAGACCACGAAGUCUCCGGACUUUGCGGAAAAAGAUGGCCUCUUCUUGAAAGCUAUCGCCUGAGGAUGAGCCCGCGUCCCAUUAGCUUGUUGGUGAGGUAACGGCUCACCAAGGCUCCGAUGGGUAGCUGAUCUGAGAGGAUGAUCAGCCACACUGGAACUGAGACACGGUCCAGACUCCUACGGGAGGCAGCAGUCGGGAAUUUUGGGCAAUGGGCGCAAGCCUGACCCAGCAACGCCGCGUGAGGGAUGAAGGCCCUCGGGUCGUAAACCUCUGUCAGGAGGGAAGAACGUCGUCGGGUGAAUAAUCCAGCGAUCUGACGGUACCUCCAAAGGAAGCACCGGCUAACUCCGUG
rnacentral:rRNA from 1 species